GAUUUUCCCCCCAAGUCCUGGCUGCCCUGUGCUGCCACUGGGUAUUUGGCCUGCAGGAGAGGCUAGGUUGAUCACUGGUGCUGCGGCCACAGGCUUUCCACAAAAGGAGGAGGUGGUCAUUCUGCUGUCCAAUUGGGGUCCCCAGUGUGGGCUGAGGCCCAGUUUCUGGAUUUGAUGUGUGGUAUAAAUUUGCCCAUGUCCUGAACCCUGUGGGUCUGUGAAGUGUCAUAGGCUUGGGCUAAGGCAGCUUUCCCACCAUGUGGUGAGUACCCAGGACCGGGAAGCGAGCUGCCAGCUGGGCUGUAGUUGACCUUGGAGAUGGGAGGAGACUGGAAAAUGAUGGCUUUGGAAGGAGCAGUGGUAUCUGUGUGUUUCAUGUCAGAGGGAGGUGUGGAUGAUGAGAGUACAGAGGCUCUGUCUGAUAGCAUGGCUGCAAGUGUAGGGUAACCUCAUGACUGACAACUAAAUGACGGUGAGCAGGGUCACCUCUGGUCAUAUCUGCUUGAAUCUUUAUAAACCCAGGCUGCCCAGUUGUCUCCCUAGGGUCCACAGGCCCACCUGAUACCUCGUUUUCCUCAGCCCAAGAGGGAGGAUGGUGGCAGAAUUGUUGCCAACAUUAGUCCUGACAAUCCUGCUAAUCCCUCAGUAGCCCAUUGUAUCUCCAGACCCUUAAUUUUUCUGGAUUUGUUAUGUCACUUUGUAAAGAAAUCAAGCUGGUUUGUUUAAAGCAUUGGUAUCCAUAUAUAUAUAAGUGAGAUUGUAUAGUUCUUUUUCCUCCCGUAUUUUUGUGAGCUCCUAAUUAGAAUUAUGGUCUCCUUGGUUAUUAAAUCGGGAAACUUGUCAUCACUUUCUGCACUCUGGAACAGAAGAAUAAUCUGUUUCUGGAAUUUGGCAGAACCUGACUGCAGACUGCUGGUGUUUUGUCUUGUUUCUGUCUUGCAGUGCCGAGGAUUGAGUCCAGAGCCUAGGCCAAGUUAGGCAAGUUUUCUACCACUGAGUUCUGCCCCCUGCCCUGCCGCUGUUUUUGGAAAGUUAACUGCUGUUUAGCUUUUUUACAUGACCAUUGAUGUUUUUCAGAUUUUCUAUCUCUUCAAAGUCAGUUUGGUACUUUUCAUUGUCCUAGAAAGCCAUUAAUGUCAUUGAAUUUUAAUACUAUUGAAUUUUAACCUAUGGUAGCACAAUGCUUUGUAUAGUACGUUGGAGGAAAAGAAACUCAUGUAUCUGUGAUGUUACCUUUUUCAACACUAGUGUUUAUUGGCCAGAUGUGCUUAGUGAUCGCUUAUUUUAUUAAUCUUUUUGAAGAACCAGCUUUGGGAGUUCUUGGUUAGUGCUACUGAUUUUUAUCCUUCUACAUCAGUAAUUUCUGUUCUUAGUAUUUAUCUUUCUACUUCAUUUAAAUUUACUUUGUUCAAGCUCUAGCCUUCUGAAUCAAAAACUGGAAUCAUUUAUUUAACCAGUUGAUCCUCCUCCUAAACCAGGCAAGGUCUUGGAAUUCAUUUUGUUGGCCUCACAUGUUUUUUUCCCUCCAGUACCGGGGAUUGAACUCAGGACCUUGCACUUGCGAGGGAGGCAGCAGCACCACUGAGCUAAUUCCCUGGCCCGAGUUGGUUUUGUUUCAUCCUUGCUCCCUCAAAUCUGACUCAAGGUCCUGCCGUGGUAGCUCUGCCUGGGGUCUAUAUGUAUAACUACAGAGAAUGUCCUUCAAAAUCGUGACCAUAAAGCCCAUUGGAGGAGAACCAGCUUGAGGGAAGUAGAGAGUCCUGGGGUGUUUUGUUUGUUGGUUGGUUUGUAUUUGGUACCGGGAUCGAACUCGGGGCCUUGAGCUUGCAAGGCAAGCGACGGAGCCACUGAGCUAAAUCCCCGGCCCUGAGAAAUCCUGGGUUUUUUCAUGACCUUGAGUUUUGGGUGUCUUGGAUGCAGGCUAGAGAUGUUGUUGGACAUGGUAUAGAGUGAGAGGAGAGGUUUUGGCUGGGAUAUAAAUUCCUGGUUUUCCUGCAGUUUACCUAGGGGCACACAGGUAUGUAUGUAUGUAUGCAUGUAUGCAUGUAUGUAUGUAUGUAAUAACAGUACUACCAUAGGAAUCAUAAGCUCCUUGUAGCGGGCAGUGGGAAGCUUAGUCAAGUUCUCAAAGUCAGAAUCACUUGAGGUGCCUGCAGAAAAUUGUAGAUUGGUGGGACCCACCUUCAGAGUUUGUUGUUGUUUCUUUGUUUGUUUGUUUCGGUACUGGCAAUGGAACUCAGGACCUUCUGCUUGUGAGGUAUGCAGCAGAACCACUGAGGUAGAUCCCUGGCCCCCUUCAGAGCUUUGAAUGUGGUCAAACCAAGUAGACCUAGAGGUGUAGCUCAGUGGUACAGUUCUUCCCUAGCAAAUGUGAGGUCCUGGGUUCCUUUCCCAGUGCCACCAAAAGAAAGAAACAACAAAACAAAAACAAAAUAGCCUUGGUAGGUAGGAGAAUGUGCAGUUUUAUCAAGUUCCUACAUGAUGCUGAAGCUACUGGUCCCAGUACCUCACUUUGAAAUAAUUGUUUUUGAAUAUUUGGAAUUUAACCCAGGGUCUCUGCACCGAGCUACAUCCCCAGCCUAUAUGUAUAUAGAGAGAGAGAGAGAGAGACACCUUGUGUCCAAAUGUAUAUAUACAUGUACAUAUAUAUACAUAGUAUAUAUACAUGCAUAUAUAUGCAGAUGUAUCGCAAGCCGGGGUGUUCCGCAGUCACUGAGUUGCCCCAGCUGAGCUGAAGUUGAGAUCCUCUUGCCUCAGCUUCCCAAAGCACUGAGAUUACAGGAGUGACCCACCGUUUCCACACUGGAACGCUGGUGUGGAAUGCCAAGAAGGGGGGGGGGUCCAGGUCUUUCGUGGAAACACUCCUCCAUCAUCCAGGAGUGGAAGACGAGUCCUUGAGGAGACAGAGGAAGCAGCGAGAAAGGCCGGAGCACCUGCUGCUGGCCGAUGGAGGUGGCGCCCAGCAAAGAUGCAGACUCCUGGACCACAACUCCCAGGGCUCCUUGCGCCGAGUCGCGCGCGCCCCCCUGCGCCUGCGUGCGCCCUGAAGGCGAUAGGCGGGGCGCCAUUGGGUCGGUAGGAGCACGGGACCUUUUGCCCAGCGUCUCCGAGCUGAGAGUUGCGGUGGUUGCUGGCAGCUGCGACGUGGGCGGAAACGGAGGGGGAGCUGAGCCUGGC
ensembl:lncRNA